rnacentral:rRNA from 1 species
AUUGAACGCUGGCGGCAUGCCUUACACAUGCAAGUCGAACGGCAGCACGGGAGCAAUCCUGGUGGCGAGUGGCGAACGGGUGAGUAAAGUAUCGGAACGUGCCCAGUCGUGGGGGAUAACGUAGCGAAAGUUACGCUAAUACCGCAUACGAUCUAUGGAUGAAAGCGGGGGAUCGCAAGACCUCGCGCGAUUGGAGCGGCCGAUAUCAGAUUAGGUAGUUGGUGGGGGAAAGGCUCACCAAGCCGACGAUCUGUAGCUGGUCUGAGAGGACGACCAGCCACACUGGGACUGAGACACGGCCCAGACUCCUACGGGAGGCAGCAGUGGGGAAUUUUGGACAAUGGGCGAAAGCCUGAUCCAGCCAUGCCGCGUGCAGGAUGAAGGCCUUCGGGUUGUAAACUGCUUUUGUACGGAACGAAAAGGUUUGGCCUAAUAAGCUGAGCUCAUGACGGUACCGUAAGAAUAAGCACCGGCUAACUACGUGCCAGCAGCCGCAGUAA